rnacentral:rRNA from 1 species
CCUACGGGUGGCAGCAGUGAGGAAUAUUGGUCAAUGGACGAGAGUCUGAACCAGCCAAGAAGCGUGAAGGAUGACUGCCCCAUGGGUUGUAAACUUCUUUUAUAUGGGAAUAAAUUGUUCCACGUGUGGGAUUUUGUAUGUACCAUAUGAAUAAGGAUCGGCUAACUCCGUGCCAGCAGCCGCGGUAAUACGGAGGAUCCGAGCGUUGUCCGGAUUUAUUGGGGUGAAAGGGAGCGUAGGUGGCUUGUUAAGUCAGUUGUGAAAGUUUGCGGAUCAACCGUAAAAUUGCAGUUGAAACUGGCAGUCUUGAGUACAGUAGAGGUGGGCGGAAUUCGUGGUGUAGCGGUGAAAUGCUUAGAUAUCGCGAAGAACUCCGAUUGCGAAGGCAGUUCACUGGACUGCAACUGACACUGAGGCUCGAAAGUGUGGGUAUCAAACAGGAUUAGAUACCCGGGUAGUC